CACAUGCAAGUCGAGCGGUAACAGAGAGGUGCUUGCACCUUUGCUGACGAGCGGCGGACGGGUGAGUAAUGCUUGGGAACAUGCCUUGAGGUGGGGGACAACAGUUGGAAACGACUGCUAAUACCGCAUAAUGUCUACGGACCAAAGGGGGCUUCGGCUCUCGCCUUUAGAUUGGCCCAAGUGGGAUUAGCUAGUUGGUGAGGUAAUGGCUCACCAAGGCAACGAUCCCUAGCUGGUUUGAGAGGAUGAUCAGCCACACUGGGACUGAGACACGGCCCAGACUCCUACGGGAGGCAGCAGUGGGGAAUAUUGCACAAUGGGCGCAAGCCUGAUGCAGCCAUGCCGCGUGUGUGAAGAAGGCCUUCGGGUUGUAAAGCACUUUCAGUCAGGAGGAAAGGUUAGUAGUUAAUACCUGCUAGCUGUGACGUUACUGACAGAAGAAGCACCGGCUAACUCCGUGCCAGCAGCCGCGGUAAUACGGAGGGUGCGAGCGUUAAUCGGAAUUACUGGGCGUAAAGCGUACGCAGGCGGUUUGUUAAGCGAGAUGUGAAAGCCCCGGGCUCAACCUGGGAACUGCAUUUCGAACUGGCAAACUAGAGUGUGAUAGAGGGUGGUAGAAUUUCAGGUGUAGCGGUGAAAUGCGUAGAGAUCUGAAGGAAUACCGAUGGCGAAGGCAGCCACCUGGGUCAACACUGACGCUCAUGUACGAAAGCGUGGGGAGCAAACAGGAUUAG
rnacentral:rRNA from 1 species